AGUCAAGGCAUUGUGACUUUCAUUUAGGGCAGUUUAUUUGUCAUUUUGAACAAAUAAGGCAAGAUAUUUGAGCAAGAUCAUUCAAACAAGAUAUCCUGUAUCAAACUUUAAGGAAAUGGAAUAAGUCACUUUUCAUACAUAUACAAACUAAUGACAAUACUAAUAUAUACAAACAGUCAGCUCUUACAAAAUAGCACUUCAAGUCAGCACUUAUGCCAGUGUCACUAAUUUGUUACAAAAAGUUAAAGCUACAAACUUCACAUUAUUAAGUCUCAUGUAACUGAUAUCAUCAGCAUCUUUGCAGGUUGGAAAGUGAAGAUGACACUUUGUCCAGAACACUUUCAGUAAUGCAUAUGGACCCAUAAAGCAGGUGAAUAUAAUUUUACAAUUAAAUGAACACAUUGCUUAAAAAUGUUGCCUGAAUUACUUUCCCUCACGAGAUAAGCCUCAGUUGUCACAAGCUGGAGGAGUUUAAGGAGUGGGCAUAUGAGAGGCUCCUGCAGGGGACCUGAAAAGGGAAAUGUUUUCUCUAGUUAAGAUUACAAAUUCUUGAAGGUGAAAAAACUCCCAUUUUUGUUCAAACUCAGAGUAGCAAAUCUAGGUGUAGGCCUCAACUCUUAUGAGUAUUAAGGCAGAUUUAAGAGAAAAUUAAACCAUUGGACCACUUCUUACUUUCACAUAUUUGGGGUCUUUUUUCUGUGAUUUUUUUCAUAGUUAACCAUUUCAGUGCAAGUUAUUUCACUAACACUACAUUGGGCUGUAAGCACCAAUUAGAGCAAUCAAGUUAUGCACUCAGUAAAGUGAAAACUGAAGUCAAGCACCCAACUUCAGUGUUUUAAGUAAAACAUGGGCAUCUCAAUGUCUUCCCAUUGCUGAAAGAAGUUGUGUCUAUCAGUGGUAAAUAUGGUACAAAGACAAACCAUUCCUAACAGAACGGUCUAUUUGACAUGUAAGCAAUGCACUUAGCUUGCUACGAAGUCACUCAUAUUGUACAUGUGCAUCAUGCCAGAGGCAAAAUGCAUAUAUACUAGAAGUAACUAAGCCAUGAGCCAGUAUUUAAAAUUAAAAAAUUGCAUCUUGUUACUGGAAGUUUCAUUUAAGCAAGGGAAUGUAAUGAACACACGCCCUUAAAAAAAAAAAAAUCAUUUGAGCAUCUUUAAUAAAUAUUUUUAAGCGAGAAAACACACACAUUGGAUGAAUUUUUAAUAAGUACUGCAGAUGGUGUGUUUGUGUCCAGCAUUAUUAGUGUGCUGUAUUGUCAACACAGGUGCUUACUAGCCUGCAUGGUUCAUUUAAAUUGCCAGAUUCUUAUUGCUAAGAGACUGUCAUCUACUAACAAAACGAGAGGUUUAAAUUAUUUAGCUUGUGCUGUGGAAGUGAUUUUAACUCAAGUUACUUGGUUUCUUUCAAGAUCUUCAUGCUAGAAACUUCUGCAAUAUUCGAGGCUAUCAAAAAUUAUGCCUUCCCCACAGCUGGUUAACGUGGGUACGCAUGGAAGAUUGUUCCCAUUUUGUGCCAGACCACACUGCUGACUGCCUCCCUCUCUUUCCAGAGUCUGCUUGACUAGGCUGCUGAGCUCUUGAAGUCCAUUAUAUUAGCUCUAUUUGCAGCUGAGGAAUUAACUGAAGCUGUUAAAAGCCAGAUCCUCAGGGGUGUAAACUGGCAUAACUCCUCCUAUGCCAACAGAGUUCACUGAUUUACAACAGCUGAGGGUACAAUCCCAAGAAACAAAGGGUCUAAAACUAUGAUGCUUCCACCAGCUAUGACGGGAACCUUUCUUGUUACUAGAAGCAUUUGAUUUCAGGAGACACUGAUAUUUAUUUGUGUGCGUGUCGUACCAAGCUCUGGUUCAGAAGGAUGACAUGAAAACUAGUCCCUCUAUCAGAGAAAGAAAAUAAUUGAAAUACUUGCUCUUUACAAACAUUUCAUUUUAUGUGGAAUAACUACAAGUGGAUCCUAAAAUCGAAUCCAACAUUAGCUUUGCUCUACUGCUGCCAAUGCACAGCACACCCACUGUUAGGUCUCUGCAUCUAUACCUAGAGAUACCGGGAUUACUUUUUCUGUUUUGCUCUUUAUCAUGUCAGUGUAAGUUUAUUAAAUCAUUUCAAGGUAACUUGACUUGCACUGACUGUAAAUAAAACAUACUAUUUACCAGUGUGUCCAGAAAAACUGGAAGAGGUUGAUCUUGGCCAUAUUAAAUGCAGAACAGAUUAAGUUGGAACUUCAGUCGCCCAACCCAUCUGGCAUCAAUAUAUCAUUGUUUAAUCUUCUGUAUAACCUCUCUUUAUUUUCAGCUUAGCUUUUCUGCUGUACUUGACCUUUAAGUAAAACAUUAUGCAAUUAAUUUUUCAUCUAAAGAUGGAAGCUUGAAAUUGUAAAGCCCUGUAAAACACCAUAAUUAGUGAAAUAUUUUUAAAUCCUCUCCUUAGUGGAGCAAAAUAUCUAACUUCCCAAGAGAGGGUUCACACAACUUUUUAGCACUCCAGUGCUAGUAGGAACUAAAUGAAGGAUAUUUCCCAGGAUGCAGAUGAAGGAGCUUCUGCUUUGUUUUACAUUGGAACUCUGCUUGGAUUUUGGUUUAAGUCAGUGAGGCUUUUAAACUGCAGAACAGCAUUUGAUGGAAGCACAGCAACAUGCUUAAUCUACCAGUAUUAAUUUAUAUAGUACACACAAGACAAAACUAUGGUCUCAAAAAACACUUGCUUAAAGCGCAUGGGGUAAGGCAUAGGGCUUAUUACAGCUUUUAAAAAGUAAGAUUUGUUCCUUUCCAAAGGUGGGAAUAGUUCCUGCAUCUUCUUGUCUACUCUUUUCAGUGACCCCUCUUCAAUUUAACACUUUCCAUGGUACCUUAACAGUAGUAAGACAGUUAAAAUGUUUGAAACUGAGUCUGUACAAAAAAAA